rnacentral:rRNA from 1 species
GGCUCAUUAAAUCAGUUAUCGUUUAUUUGAUAGUACCUUACUACUUGGAUAACCGUGGUAAUUCUAGAGCUAAUACAUGCUAAAAACCCCGACUUCGGAAGGGGUGUAUUUAUUAGAUAAAAAACCAAUGCCCUUCGGGGCUCCCUGGUGAUUCAUAAUAACUUAACGAAUCGCAUGGCCUUGUGCCGGCGAUGGUUCAUUCAAAUUUCUGCCCUAUCAACUUUCGAUGGUAAGGUAUUGGCUUACCAUGGUUUCAACGGGUAACGGGGAAUUAGGGUUCUAUUCCGGAGAAGGAGCCUGAGAGACGGCUACUACAUCCAAGGAAGGCAGCAGGCGCGCAAAUUACCCAAUCCCGACACGGGGAGGUAGUGACAAUAAAUACUGAUACAGGGCUCUUUUGGGUCUUGUAAUUGGAAUGAGUACAAUUUAAAUCCCUUAACGAGGAACAAUUGGAGGGCAAGUCUGGUGGAUCUAGUCCCGAGAGUAGUGAUUUACUCUCUCUGCUGACGCCAGAAAGAGAGGGCGAGCCCCUCUAGUCGACUAUACAUAAAACUUUGGGUGUAUAGCGGCAAGACAACCUGGAUCGGGGGAGGCUAAGGCGCUGUAUGCGCUAUGCUAACCCCGAGCUGAGUCCCUGGAGGGCGACCUCCAGCGGACCAGUGUAGAGCGCGCAAAGGUGUCGGUCACCUGGAGACAUGUCUCCAGGGGGCUUAAGGUACGUGCCGUCUCGCAUGAAAAUGCGUCCCUGAAUCCGAGCUCCCAAAGAGUGAAGUUUCGGGGAGUAUAGCCUGAGCAUUCGGGCUAUGUAGGUUAGACACAGUCUAUGAUAACGGCCAGCAGCCGCGGUAAUUCCAGCUCCAAUAGCGUAUAUUAAAGUUGUUGCAGUUAAAAAGCUCGUAGUUGAACCUUGGGCCUGGCUGGUCGGUCCGCCUCACCGCGUGCACUGAUCCGGCCGGGCCUUUCCUCCUGGGGAGCCACAUGCCCUUCACUGGGUGUGUCGGGGAACCAGGACUUUUACUUUGAAAAAAUUAGAGUGUUCAAAGCAGGCCUAUGCUCGAAUACAUUAGCAUGGAAUAAUAGAAUAGGACGUGUGGUUCUAUUUUGUUGGUUUCUAGGACCGCCGUAAUGAUUAAUAGGGAUAGUCGGGGGCAUCAGUAUUCAAUUGUCAGAGGUGAAAUUCUUGGAUUUAUUGAAGACUAACUACUGCGAAAGCAUUUGCCAAGGAUGUUUUCAUUAAUCAGUGAACGAAAGUUAGGGGAUCGAAGACGAUUUUAUAGUACACUACAGGUACCUGGUCGUCCACAGCAGCCGAAUCAUCGCGCUGCUAGUCUGCUCGUCAGGCUACACCGUCAAAUUGCGGGGACAUCCUAAAGGCCCUACCACACUCCACCACUGGAAACAGUGGCGGCUCGUAAUAGUGUAGUGCAUGAUCAGCUGCCACAGCUGUGAAAUGGACAAUCCGCAGCCAAUUCCUACGGGCUCCCGCCUACGGAUGCAGCUCACAGACUAGACGUCGGUGGGUCCUCUGGGACUUAAGAUAUAGUCGAACACCCGUUCAAAGGCGAGGUGAAAUAUGCAGAUACCGUCGUAGUCUUAACCAUAAACUAUGCCGACUAGGGAUCGGGCGAUGUUAUCUUUUUGACUCGCUCGGCACCUUACGAGAAAUCAAA